GUACAUUAGAUGUAUUCCAAACAGCCAGCUUGGGCAUGAAUACACUGCCCCAUCAGCUUUCUGGGAACUGGCACAAUAAAAUCACUUCCUGAAGUUAGAAGGUAGAGAGAACUCCAACAAGGGUAUAAAUAGUGCACAGAGUAGUUCUGCUAAAACGACAGGAUCCAGAGACACUCUCAGUCUUGGAAAUCCUACCAACAAGGAUUCAGGCCUCCCUGUUUCCUGAAACACAACAAUAUUAAAGUUAGGCCAAUUAAUAACCCUACAAUGGUCUCUAAGUGUCAAGCGAAAGGGAAAGUCACACAUCUCUUAGUUUAACUCAAAACUAAAAAUGAUUAAACUUAGUGAGGGAGGCACGUAGAAAGCUGAGACAGGCCAAAAGCUAGACCUCUUCUGACAAACAGCCAAUUGGGAAAGCAAAGGAAAAGCUCUUGAAGAAAAAUUAAAAGUAAAAUUAGAAGUGCUACUCAGUGAAAUCACAAGUGAUAAGAAAGCAAAGUAGUCUUAUUGCUGAUAAUGAAGAAAGUUUGAGUGAUCUGGAUAGAAGAUCAAACCAGACACAACAUUCCUUUAAGCCAAGCCUAAUCCAGAGCAAGAUCCUAGCUUUCUUCAAUUUUAUGAAGGCUGAGAGAGGUUAGGAAGCUGCGCAAGAUGCACAACUAGCAGAGGUUGCUUCGUGACGUUUAAGGAAAGAAGCCAUCUCUAUAACAUAAAAGUGCAAGGUGAAGCAGCAAGUGCUGAUGUAGAAGCUGUAGCAAGUUAUCCAGAAGAUCUGGCUAAGAUCAUUGAUGAAGGUAGCUACACUCAACAACAGAUUUUCAAUAUAGAUAAAACAGCCUCCUAUUGGAAGAAGAUGCUACUUAGGACUUUCAUAGCUAGAAAGAAGUCAAAGCCUGUCUUCGGAGCUUUGAAGGACAGCCUGGCUGACUCUCUUGUUAGGGACUAAUGCAGCUGGGGAUUUUAAGUUGAAGCCAAUGGUCAUUGACCAUUCAAAAAACUCUAAGGCCCUUAAGAAUUAUGCUCAGCCUAUUCUGCCUGUGCUCUACAAAUGGAACAACAAAGCCUGGACGAUUGCAUAUCUGUUUACAGCAUGGUUUACUGAAUAUUUUAAGUCUACUGGUGAAACCUAUUGCUCCUGAAAAAAAAGAUUCCUUUCAAAAUAUUAGUGCUCAUUGGCAAUGUACCUAAUCACCUAAGAGCUCUAAGGCAGAUGUACAAAGAGAUGAAUGUUGUUUUCAUGCCUGCUAACACAACAUCUAUUGUGCAACGAGGAGAUCAAGGAGUAAUUUUGAGUUUCAAGUCUUAUUAUUUCAGAAACACAUUUCUUAAGGCUAGAGCCAUCAUUGACAGUGAUUCAUUUGAUGGGUCUAGGCAAAGUAAAUCAAAAGCCUCUGGAAAGAGUUCAGUAUUCUAGAUGCCAUUAAGAACACUCAUGAUUCAAGGGAGGUUAAAAUAGCAAGAUUAACAGGAGUUUGGAAGAAGUUGAUUCCAACCCUCGCUGAUGACUUUGAGGGGUUUAACACUUCAUGGAGGAAGUCACUGAUGAUAUUGCAGAAGUAGCAAGAGAACUAGAAUUAGAAGUGGAACUUGAUGAUGUGACGGAAUUGCUGCAAUCUUAUGAUAAAACUUGAAUGGAUGAGGAGUUGCUUCUUAUAGAUGAGUUUUAUUAUGAUAUUUACUUUAUUGCAGUGGUCUGAAAUCAAACUCCCAAUAUCUUUGAGGUAUACUUAUAUAUAUGACAAGGCAGAAUGAGGUAGGCACUGUUACCUUCUGCUUUGUAUGAGAGUGAAAGCAUAGCCUCUUGAAGAUAGGCAAACUUGGGUUUGAAUUUUGACUGCUACUUACUGAGUAACAAUAAAUUAUCUCAUUGCUCAUUGCUGAACCUCAGUUCCCUAGUCUGUAAAGUAGCUACAUAAACUCAUAUUUUAUAGUUCUUUUGAAAAUUAGAUUGAAUAAGAGAAUAAAGUGUUUAAUGGGAGGCCUGGCAAACAUAGUGCAAUCAGUAAUGGUAGCUAUCAGUAUUAUUGUUACUACUUUUAUUACUAUCAAAGCACAGCCAGUAAAAACUAAAAAGACACAUCUUCAUUUUAAAGACUUAUUGUAUCUUUAAAAUAGAAUACUAUUUUAGACUCCCAGGUAAUUCAUGACCAAACGUUAUAACUAUAUCGCAUAAGCAGACCUGGAGACCAAUCUUAUUUACUACUACAUCUGGUCCUUUUGUCAUAAUGUGGUGGGGAGAAGGAUUCCCUACUUUAAUUUAAAUCAUUAAACCAUAUCUUUGUUUUUUACCUCCACCUUUACUUCAUAUAUAUAUUGCAGGAGGCACUACACUGAUGCAUUUAAACAGUGUAGAGUACUAGAAGAUAUCCUGACUUCUGGUCAGAAGGUCCAGCUUAACCGUGGCAUUGACCCAUGGUGUGACCAUGGGCAAGUCACACCUAUUUGGACAUCUAUUUAGUUAAAGAGGUGAACUACCUGAUCUCUAAGCAUCCUCAUAAUUUUCCUUAUAAUGACCAAAAUCACAAUUACAAGGAGAAGCCUG
rnacentral:lncRNA from 10 species